UCUCCUCAUUUCCUUGGAUCCUUUCUCUCAGCCUUCCCCAUGCACUGUGCAACCUCUCUGGAGUGCCCAUUAGUGGAGAGAAAGAGAGUUCAUAUGGUUGUGAUUGUCUUUACUUUCAGCUGGCAACCAAGAGAAGAGGGAGACUCGGCUCCAAUCCUUUGAAGUAUUGAUAAGAGAAGGUAGCAGAGAGGUUUCUUUCCCCUUUAGUAGAGAAGAUUGUGUAGUGACCCCUUUAGUAGAGAAGGUUGUGUACUGACCCCUUUAGUAGAGAAGAUUGUGUAGUGACCCCUUUAGUAGAGAAGAUUGCUCUGCCUGCAGCUGUACCCGUGGACCAGCUUGGAUUCCAACAGUUCCGUUCACGGCAAUGCAGCUGUGGCAGUUCCCUGCUUAGAGUGAAGCUGGAAUUCGUUGGCACUGGAGCACAUUGUCCCAGGAAGCGACUACUCCCUGCCAGGACAUCCGUACCAGUCAGUGGGACUGACCAGGCUGGUUCCUGGCACUUCCUGCCCCAGCAGUCAGCUGUCUUCCCCCACACUUGUCAUGUGGGCACAGGGAUACCACACUUGCAAGGGUUUCUCCAAAGGUUUUUGUGCCAGGAGUGCUCCAGGCUUUCAGAAGCAGAGCAGCCCUGGGAGAGCAGCUGAGUGAUGACAGCAAUGAGCUGCAGAGGCAGAAGAAGGAGGAACGUCCCUUGGCUGUGCCAGAAAGUGUAACGCGGCUGAGGAAGUGGGCGGUGAUG